rnacentral:rRNA from 1 species
UACGGGGGGGGCAAGCGUUGUUCGGAAUUACUGGGCGUAAAGCGCACGUAGGCGGGUCGUUAAGUCAGGGGUGAAAUCCCGGAGCUCAACUCCGGAACUGCCUUUGAUACUGGCGAUCUUGAGAUCGGAAGAGGUGAGUGGAAUUCCCAGUGUAGAGGUGAAAUUCGUAGAUAUUGGGAAGAACACCAGUGGCGAAGGCGGCUCACUGGUCCGGUACUGACGCUGAGAUGCGAAAGCGUGGGGAGCAAACAGG